AUUCCUUAUAUGUAAUUAAUCUUAGAAAAAUAAAUAAAAAUAUAUGGAAUUGCCACGUGAUAAUAUGCGCGCAUGCCCCAUAGCAUGUUUAUUGCAUGCUCACCACGUAACUCCAAAGUGAUCAAGAUAUUAUCAUCAUCAUCAUGACACUAUGCGAGCAUGCCGUAUCGCAUGUUGACUCGUGAGUUGUCGACGAGUUUCGCAGAUGCAUCCGACGCACGAUCGGAUGGACCAAAUCAAGAUGGACGGACCCGUCACCCGAAGCCCACGGCAGGGUCUUGAACCCGACUAAAACCCUUCCGCCCUCCUCCGAGACGGCGGCGUCGUCCCGUCCCAUGGCGAGCUUUGUCCGAACCCGCCUCUGCGACCGCCGCGCGUCCGCGGUCUCUCGCUCCUACGCCGUUGCGGCCGACGCCAGACCUUCUUCCGCCUCGCCCAACUCGGCGAACGAGAGACCUGCCGCGCUGAAGCCGGCGACGGUGGAUGAAGAGGAGGUCCCCACGUCGGGCAUCUGCCGCCCCCUUUCGGAGAUCCUCAGGGAGCUUAACAAGAAGGUCCCGGAUUUGCUCAUCAGGACCCGCGUAGAAAACGGCGUGGCCACCAGACACAUCCCUUGAAUGGUCUGGUGAGAUUCGAAGCAUUGUGUAUUCAACGGAUGGGAGUUCAGUCUCAGUCUCUGAGGUACAUUUUCAUCAGACCUUGCAAAUUUAGUAUGAAUGUUGUUGAAGCGAGAUGACAUACAUAUUCACAUUUAGGCCUGCAUACCGAGAUAAAAGGGUUUAUGCAUAUAACCGCUACAUAUUCACACCAUGGUCCACCUUAAACAUGUCGCAGUUUGGUACUACUUCAUGAAGUUUUCCUGAGGAUUUUAACUGUAAGAUAAAUUACACACAUCAUAUAGCCUUGUGUAUCAGGACAAAUGGGUGCAUGCAACUCCGAUGAAUUUUCCACAGAAAACCUGCUAGGCUUGCAUGAGAUAGCUUCUCUGUUGAUACAAUGACUUCAUAUCAAGAUCACUUAAAUAUGUAUAGAUGAUUGAUAUAUAUCUCCAACUGUAUGAUGCUUUGUAAUUUUCUUCUUAUUUGGAUUCAUCAGUUAAUUCACCUUAGUGAGAAACACCUCAUCUGGUAUUAAUUUACAUUCCCAUGAAUUCUAGGAUCCUCCCCUUCUGUGUAAUCAGAUGACUUGUUUAUCUAUUAUGCUGAUGAAAGCUUCAUUCUCACAAAAUAACCAUUAAGACAAAAGGAGAUACUUUUGUUCACAUCAUCUUCUGCUACUACUUCACCAGGAACUGUAAUGGGCACUGGUUGAGGUCCCAACUCUUUUUUGUAGAUUUUUUGCAUCUCAUCAGCAACAACUUGAGCCAAUGAAUCCUAUAUUAACGACAGCAUAGUAAAGUACACACACUAAGAUUCUAAAUAAUAGAAUCAAGCAGACCACUUAUUCUAAAUGUACAAGUAGAAGCCAGAAUAGUACUUGAUGAGCCUCCAAAGGAGGAUUGAAUGAACACCCAGGUGGCUCAACUUCAACAGCAGGAAUGAGACAGGCCUUGUGCUUGUGGAAGAUCAGAAAUUCGGGAAGAAGAAAGGAAAAAAUCAUGCCUCAAGUACAGAGGGAGACUCUUAUACAGCAUACAAGAAAUAGAAGACUACUCAAAGACCAAAAUUGUUUAUUUCAACAAUCUCUCUCUGCAAUAGCAUGUACAACAUAAACACUACGAAAGGCAUGAAGAAGUUAUUAGUAACUUGACAGAAGAAGAAUGCAUUGAUGAUAUUUUAUUUAAUGAAGUAUUGAUUUGUUCUCCUAUCA